AACGCUGGCGGCACGCUUAACACAUGCAAGUCGAGCGGAGCCGAUUCGCAGUGGAACCGAGCAGCUUGCUGCGAGGGGAAGCAUGAAGAGGCUUAGCGGCGGACGGGUGAGUAACACGUGGGUAACCUACCCUAGUACAGGGGGAUAACGUAUAGAAAUGUACGCUAAAACCGCAUAAGCCAGCAGGUACGCAUGUAUCGGCUGGAAAAACGAUAGUGGUAUAGGAUGGGCCCGCGACUGAUUAGCUAGUUGGUGAGGUAAGAGCCCACCAAGGCAACGAUCAGUAGCCGGUCUGAGAGGAUGAACGGCCACAUUGGGACUGAGACACGGCCCAGACUCCUACGGGAGGCAGCAGUGGGGAAUAUUGCACAAUGGGGGGAACCCUGAUGCAGCGAUGCCGCGUGAAGGAAGAAGUAUUUCGGUAUGUAAACUUCUAUCGAUGAGGAAGAAGAUGACAGUACUCAAGUAAGAAGCCCCGGCUAACUACGUGCC
rnacentral:rRNA from 1 species